UGCCAUCUCGCUGCCUCAGUCAGUCACUUCCAGUUUCCUGUGUCCCUCUUUUGCCUGCCCUGUGUCUCCUUUUAUCCUGGAAUUCUGGCUGACUCCCCCUCCCCUCCUGAAACACCGAGUGAAGAAGGAGCCCCGCAGAGUUCUUUGCAAUACAGUGAGCAGACCUGG